GCUCCAGUGGCGCAAUCGGUUAGCGCACGGUACUUAUAAGACAGUGAAUCGUGAGCAAUGCCGGGGUUGUGAGUUCGAGCCUCACCUGGAGCA
rfam:Habropoda laboriosa contig4648, whole genome shotgun sequence.